rnacentral:misc_RNA from 1 species
AUGAGGAUAUACACAACACCAUUCAUGAUGAAGGGAAUGGCUGCUCCUUGGAAAUAUAAAACAUUCAUUGAAACAUGCUGCCAGUCUGAUCACCUCAUCUUUAGAGGAAGACCAGAUUCCAGAAGAUGUGAAGCCCUAGUGAUG